AUAAAGUAAGGCAUAAGUGCUUUCAAGAAUUCCAGUUAUCAAAGGAGAAUUGAAAUAUUGGGAAAUACAGGAUAUAAUUGGAUAACUAAAGUUCGUUAUUCAUUGUGCUAAUAUUUACUUGUCAUCUACUUGUAGGUGAGCCUACGAUUAGUAAUAUUUGGUCCACAAGCGUUUAAACCGUCGAAAGAGGUAAAAUUAUAUCCUGUAUUUUAGUAUAAAAGUAUCCUUCUUGCAGGAGAAAUAUGUCAUGCGGGAUAUUGUUCGUUGAAAAUACCGCUGUAUUCUCUCGUGUCCGAACUAAUUAUACUUUACAAAUAUCGUGAAAAUAACUAAGACUGACCGUCCCCACAGUUUUCCUCUGUUUGUGCGUUUCUCUUACGGGGAGUCGAAUGUUUGUUUGAAUCUACAGAUGUUCAAACAAAGUAAGGCGUAUAAGUCCUUUGAAGAAUUGCAAUUAUCAAUUGAAGAAUUAGAAUAUGAGUGGAAACCCAGGAUUUGUUUCAAAUGGGAGUAGGUAAAAUAUUUUUCCUAUGUACCUUUUGUAUGGGUGUGUACAGGUUACAAUCUUGUUGUACUCGUUUUUAUCAAAACAGUUGUUAACCGCGUUUUUGUCAAGUCCUUUACAUAUAAACUGCAGUUCAUGCAUAUACUGAAGUAUUCAAUUGCUUUACAAUUGAAUUAUCUGGAAACAUUUUUUCCUAUACAUAUCGUAAUAACACCCAUCAUUUCUAACGACAUGCAGGGAUGGUUAAUCUGGGUUCAACAAGUCGGAGAAAACACGUUUAUUCAAAGGUGGAAAUCAAAUUAAAAUUCUAACUUUACAUGGAUUAGGGUGCAACUAUGGCAGUCGUACUAGAAAAACUUUUAAUAUACUCGCUAUCAAGAUUUUUUGUACACGUGUAUAAUUAUACAGAGAUAGUAUGUAAACUUCAGACACAUAAUAUAGGUCAAUUUGAGAUAUUCCGUGUUAUAUAGAUAUAACGGUCAAAAAUUGUUUUUCAUACAUAGAUUCCAUUGGAUGAUUAAAGUUAACCAUGCAUUGUGCUAAUAUUUACUUGAUGUCUAUUUCUAGGGGAGCCUACGAUCAGUUAAGUUUGGUCAGUACCUGUUAACAUGUGGAAAAAGGUAAAAUUUGUACUGGUAUUCUUGGGUUUCACUACGGCAUUAUCCAGGGGAUCUGACGGGGGGGAGUCAACCUGAAAUGUAUUGAUGCUUAUGCAGCUGUACUGGAGUGAGAAAAUGAUCGGGAAUUGCACGUUUUGCAUGCAACCAAACGGAAGGCUAAUACAUAAAUCGAGCAAUUGACUUACUCUGAUAACUGUGUUUUGUUUUAGAGUUGACCCCGUCACUUCUGUGGCAACGUCAUACGAAACCCAAAAAUUUAAGUACAAAAAUAUCCAACUUAUAGGAGAAAUAUGUCAUGCAGGAAAUUGUUUGUUGAAAGUACUGUAUUUUCUUUAUUCCGUUGAGUACUGUACGUUGCAUCUAUCAUUUUACAAAUAUCGUGAAAAUAACUAAAACUUACCGUCCCGACCUCUUUCUUCGUUAUCUUCAUUAUCAUGGGUCUGGGUGGAAUCUUUGCUUGAAUCUGCAGAUGUUAAAAUAAAGUAAGGCAUAAGUGCUUUGAAGAAUUCCAGUUAUCAAAGGAGAAUUGAAAUAUUGGGAAAUGCAGGAUAUAAUUGGAUAACUAAAGUUCGUUAUUCAUUGUGCUAAUAUUUACUUGUCAUCUACUUGUAGGUGAGCCUACGAUUAGUAAUAUUUGGUCCACAAGCGUUUAAACCGUCGAAAGAGGUAAAAUUAUAUCCUGUAUUUUAGUAUAAAAGUAUCCUUCUUGCAGGAGAAAUAUGUCAUGCGGGAUAUUGUUUGUUGAAAAUACCGCUGCAUUCUCUCGUGUCCGAACUAAUUAUACUUUACAAAUAUCGUGAAAAUAACUAAGACUGACCGUCCCCACAGUUUUCCUCUGUUUGUGCGUUUCUCUUACGGGGAGUCGAAUGUUUGUUUGAAUCUACAGAUGUUCAAACAAAGUAAGGCGUAUAAGUCCUUUGAAGAAUUGCAAUUAUCAAUUGAAGAAUUAGAAUAUGAGUGGAAACCCAGGAUUUGUUUCAAAUGGGAGUAGGUAAAAUAUUUUUCCUAUGUACCUUUUGUAUGGGUGUGUACAGGUUACAAUCUUGUUGUACUCGUUUUUAUCAAAACAGUUGUUAACCGCGUUUUUGUCAAGUCCUUUACAUAUAAACUGCAGUUCAUGCAUAUACUGAAGUAUUCAAUUACUUUACAAUUGAAUUAUCUGCAAACAUUUUUUUCCUAUACAUAUCGUAAUAACACCCAUCAUUUCUAACGACAUGCAGGGAUGGUUAAUCUGGGUUCAACAAGUCGGAGAAAACACGUUUAUUCAAAGGUGGAAAUCAAAUUAAAAUUCUAACUUUACAUGGAUUAGGGUGCAACUAUGGCAGUCGUACUAGAAAAACUUUUAAUAUACUCGCUAUAAAGAUUUUUUGUACACAUGUUUAAUUAUACAGAGAUAGUAUGUAAACUUCAGACACAUAUAGGUCAAUUUGAGAUAUUCCGUGUUAUAUAGAUAUAACGGUCAAAAAUUGUUUUUCAUACAUAGAUUCCAUUGGAUGAUUAAAGUUAACGAUGCAUUGUGCUAAUAUUUACUUGAUGUCUAUUUCUAGGGGAGCCUACGAUCAGUUAAGUUUGCUCAGUUCCUGUUAACAUGUGGAAAAAGGUAAAAUUUGUACUGGUAUUCUUGGGUUUCACUACGGCAUUAUGCAGGGGAUCUGACGGGGGGGAGUCAACCUGAAAUGUAUUGAUGCUUAUGCAGCUGUACUGGAGUGAGAAAAUGAUCGGGAAUUGCACGUAUUUGCAUGCAACCAAACGGAAGGCUAAUACAUAAAUCGAGCAAUCGACUCACUCUGAUAACUGUGUUUUGUUUUAGAGUUGACCCCGUCACUUCUGUGACGUCAUACGAAACCCAAAAAUUAAAGUACAAAAAUAUCCAACUUAUAGCCGGAGAAAUAUGUCAUGCAGGAAAUUGUUUGUUGAAAAUACAGUAUUUUCUGUAUUCCGUUGAGUACUGUAGGUUGCAUCUAUCAUUUUACAGAUAUCGUGAAAAUAACUAAAACUUACCGUCCCGACCUCUUUCUUCGUUAUCUUCAUUAUCAUGGGUCUGGGUCGAAUCUUUGCUUGAAUCUGCAGAUGUUAAAAUAAAGUAAGGCAUAAGUGCUUUCAAGAAUUCCAGUUAUCAAAGGAGAAUUGAAAUAUUGGGAAAUACAGGAUAUAAUUGGAUAACUAAAGUUCGUUAUUCAUUGUGCUAAUAUUUACUUGUCAUCUACUUGUAGGUGAGCCUACGAAUGGUAAUAUUUGGUCCACAAGCGUUUAAACCGUCGAAAGAGGUAAAAUUAUAUCUUGUAUUUUAGUAUAAAAGUAUCCUUCUUGCAGGAGAAAUAUGUCAUGCGGCAUAUUGUUCGUUGAAAAUACCGCUGUAUUCUCUCGUGUCCGAACUAAUUAUACUUUACAAAUAUCGUGAAAAUGACUAAGACUGACCGUCCCCACAGUUUUCCUCUGUUUGUGCGUUUCUCUUACGGGGAGUCGAAUGUUUGUUUGAAUCUACAAAUGUUCAAACAAAGUAAGGCGUAUAAGUCCUUUGAAGAAUUGCAAUUAUCAAUUGAAGAAUUAGAAUAUGAGUGGAAACCCAGGAUUUGUUUCAAAUGCGAGUAGGUAAAAUAUUUUUUCUGUGUACCUUUUGUAUGGGUGUGUACAGGUUACAAUCUUGUUGUACUCGUUUUUAUCAAAACAGUUGUUAACCGCGUUUUUGUCAAGUCCUUUGCAUAUAAACUGCAGGUUCAUGCAGGUACUGAAGUAUUCAAUUGCUUUACAAUUGAAUUAUCUGGAAACAUUCUUUCCUAUACAUAUCGUAAUGACACCCAUCAUUUUUAACGACAUGCAGGGAUGGUUAAUCUGGGUUCAACGAGUCAGAGAAAACACGUUUAUUCAAAGGUGGAAAUUAAAUUCAAAUUCUAACUUUACAUGGAUUUUAGGGUGCAACUAUGACAAUCGUACUAGAAAAACUUUUAAUAUACUCGCUAUCAAGAUUUUUUUGUACACGUGUAUAAUUAUACAGAGAUAGUAUGUAAACUUCAGACACAUGCAUAUAGGUCAAUUUGAGAUAUUCCGUGUUAUAUAGAUUUAACGGUCAAAAAUUGUUUUUCAUACAUAGAUUCCAUUGGAGGAUUAAAGUUCACCAUGCAUUGUGCUAAUAUUUACUUGAUAUCUAUUUCUAGGGGAGCCUACGAUCAGUUAAGUUUGGUCAACCAUUGUUUAACACGUGGAAAAAGGUAAAAUUUGUACUGGUAUCCUUGGGUUUCACUACGCUAUUAUGCAGGGGAUCUGACGGGCGAGUCAAGCUCAAAUGUAAUGCUUUACUGGAGUGAGAAAAUGAUCGGAAAUUGGACGUGUUUGCAUGCAAACAAACGGAAGGCUAAUACAUAAAACGAACAAUCGACUCACUCUGAUAACUGUGUUUUGUUUUAGAGUUGACCCCGUCACUUCUGUGACGUCAUACGAAACCCAAAAAUUAAAGUACAAAAAUAUCCAACUUAUAGGAGAAAUACAGGUAUAUCAUGAGGGAAAUUGUUUGUUGAAAAUACUGUAUUUUCUGUAUUCCGUUGAGUACUGUAUGUUGCAUCUAUCAUUUUACAAAUAUCGUGAAAAUAACUAAAACUUACCGUCCCGACCGCUUUCUCCGUUAUCUUCAUUACUCGUAUCAUGGGUCGAAUCUUUGCUUGAAUCUGCAGAUGUUAAAAUAAAGUAAGGCAUAAGUGCUUUCAAGAAUUCCAGUUAUCAAAGGAGAAUUGGAAUAUCGGGAAAUACAGGAUAUAAUAAUUGGAUAACUCAAGUUCGUUAUUCAUUGUGCUAAUAUUUACUUUUCAUCUAUUUGUAGGUGAGCCUACGAUUAGUAAUAUUUGGUCCACAAGCGUUUAAACCGUCGAAAGAGGUAAAAUUCUUUCUGGUAUUUUACUAUAAAAGUAUCCAUCUUGCAGGAGAAAUAUAUCAUGCGGGAUAUUGUUUGUUGAAAAUACCGCUGUAUUCUCUCGCGUCCCAACUAAUUAUACUUUACAAAUAUCUUGAAAAUAACUAAAACUUACCGUCCCGACAGCUUUCCUCUGUUUGUGCAUUUCUCUUACCGUGAGUCGAAUGUUUCUUUGAAUCUACAGAUGUUCAAAUAAAGUAAGGCGUAAGUCCUUUGAAGAAUUGCAAUUAUCAAUUGAAGAAUUAGAAUAUGAGUGGAAACCCAGGAUUUGUUUCAAAUGCGAGUAGGUAAAAUAUUUUUUCUGUGUACCUUUUGUAUGGGUGUGUACAGGUUACAAUCUUGUUGUACUCGUUUUUAUCAAAACAGUUGUUAACCGCGUUUUUGUCAAUCCUUUGCAUAUAAACUGCAGGUUCAUGCAGGUACUGAAGUAUUCAAUUGCUUUACAAUUGAAUUAUCUGGAAACAUUCUUUCCUAUACAUAUCGUAAUGACACCCAUCAUUUUUAACGACAUGCAGGGAUGGUUAAUCUGGGUUCAACAAGUCAGAGAAAACACGUUUAUUCAAAGGUGGAAAUUAAAUUCAAAUUCUAACUUUACAUGGAUUAGGGUGCAACUAUGACAAUCGUACUAGAAAAACUUUUAAUAUACUCGCUAUCAAGAUUUUUUGUACACGUGUAUAAUUAUACAGAGAUAGUAUGUAAACUUCAGACACAUGCAUAUAGGUCAAUUUGAGAUAUUCCGUGUUAUAUAGAUUUAACGGUCAAAAAUUGUUUUUCAUACAUAGAUUCCAUUGGAGGAUUAAAGUUCACCAUGCAUUGUGCUAAUAUUUACUUGAUAUCUAUUUCUAGGGAAGCCUACGAUCAGUUAAGUUUGGUCAACCAUUGUUUAACACGUGGAAAAAGGUAAAAUUUGUACUGGUAUCCUUGGGUUUCACUACGGUAUUAUGCAGGGGAUCUGACGGGCGAGUCAAGCUCAAAUGUAAUGCUUUACUGGAGUGAGAAAAUGAUCGGAAAUUGGACGUGUUUGCAUGCAAACAAACGGAAGGCUAAUACAUAAAACGAACAAUCGACUCACUCUGAUAACUGUGUUUUGUUUUAGAGUUGACCCCGUCACUUCUGUGACGUCAUACGAAACCCAAAAAUUAAAGUACAAAAAUAUCCAACUUAUAGGAGAAAUACAGGUAUAUCAUGAGGGAAAUUGUUUGUUGAAAAUACUGUAUUUUCUGUAUUCCGUUGAGUACUGUAUGUUGCAUCUAUCAUUUUACAAAUAUCGUGAAAAUAACUAAAACUUACCGUCCCGACCGCUUUCUCCGUUAUCUUCAUUACUCGUAUCAUGGGUCGAAUCUUUGCUUGAAUCUGCAGAUGUUAAAAUAAAGUAAGGCAUAAGUGCUUUCAAGAAUUCCAGUUAUCAAAGGAGAAUUGGAAUAUCGGGAAAUACAGGAUAUAAUAACUGGAUAACUCAAGUUCGUUAUUCAUUGUGCUAAUAUUUACUUUUCAUCUAUUUGUAGGUGAGCCUACGAUUAGUAAUAUUUGGUCCACAAGCGUUUAAACCGUCGAAAGAGG
rnacentral:lncRNA from 1 species